AUUCAGAGGAUGCUCGGUCAGUAGAUCUGGGACUACAUUCUGAAAAUGAUGACAGAGGUUUCUAUACAGAAAACUUUCAUUCUGCUGCAUGGGUUUUCAGAGGAGAUGAUGUGUCUCCAGAUAAUAGCCCUAGAUGUCUCAGCAAAAGACCUAGACCAGUGGCAAUUCGUGAAAGAACAGUGAAGAUUGCUAAAGGAACUGGAAAUUACCCUUGGGGAUUCCGGAUCCAGUUCUCAAAGCCUAUUCUUGUGACUGAAGUUGACACAAACAGUGCAGCUGAAGAAGCAGGGCUCCAAGUUGGGGAUAUUCUGAUAGCAGUCAACGGAACUGAUGUCACUAGCAUGCCAC